rnacentral:rRNA from 1 species
GUGUCAGCAGCCGCGGUAACACGGGGGGAGCAAGCGUUGUUCGGAAUCACUGGGCGUAAAGGGCGUGUAGGCGGUCAGGUAAGUGAGAUGUGAAACGCCCCGGCUUACCCGGGGACCUGCAUCUCAAACUGCCUGGCUUGAGUACGGGAGAGGAUGAGGGAAUUCCUGGUGUAGCGGUGAAAUGCGUAGAUAUCAGGAGGAACACCGGUGGCGAAAGCGCUCAUCUGGCCCGAUACUGACGCUGAGGCGCGAAAGCUAGGGGAGCAAACGGGAUUAGAUACCCUAGUAGUCC